GAGGAUAUAAUUAAAAAUUUUGUGGAGCAAACAAACUUGUAUGGGCUUCAAAAGAAUGUUGAUUUACAAGUAACAUUGGAAGAGAUCAAAGUAUUUCUAGGAGGCAUGCUAAUGCCUGGAUACGCUAGGUAUCCAACAAAAGAAUGUUUUGGUCAAACUUCUCCAAAAUAGCAUGAGGAUGAAUAUGUUUGAACAAAUACUUAAAAACUUUCAUUUGAAUAAUAACCUUAAUAUCGAUGAAGCGGAUCGCCUUUACAAAAUUAGGCCACUAAUAUACCAUUUUAAUGCAUCAUAUCUACGACACGGUGGGAUUGAAGAAAAUAGAUGAAAGUAUGAUCCCAUAUUAUGGCAAGCAUUAUGCCAAGCAAUAUAUUCGUGGAAAACCCAUCCGAUUUGGUUUUAAAAAUUGGGCGUUAAUUUCUGCUAACGGUUGUAUGGGACAAUUUGAUAUAUAUAUGGGGAAAACGGCAGAGUGUACUCCCAAAGGAUUUGGUGUAGGUGGCGAUAAGGUCCUUGACCUCCUCUCAAAAGCUAACGUCCAUCUAAUAAAGGAUUCAAGGUAUUCAUAGACAACUAUUUCACAUCCGUAAAAUUACUGCGACACUUGUCUUCCAUCGGAAUAUGUACCUCGGGAACCAUACGGGAAGGUCGAACAGAAAAAUGUCCCCUUCGCUCAAUCCCGGCAAUGAAAAAAAAAAAGAUAGAGGUUCAUUAGAUCAUCGAUUUACAGUAAUGAAGUGGGAACAUGCAAACGCUUCGUUAAAAGGGCGGGGUUCUUUAAGUAUUCCUCAACCAAAAUUGUUUCAUCGAUAUAAUGUGGACAUGGGAGGAGUGGAUAAAAUGGACCAACUAGUUGCAGUCUACCGCUCUAGAAUCAGGAAAAAAAUGGUGGUGGCCCAUAUUUGCAUAUUUGCUUGAUGCGUCAGUAGUGAAUGCAUGGCUGUUAAUGAAGAAGUUACAUCCCAAUGA
rnacentral:sRNA from 1 species